rnacentral:rRNA from 1 species
CCCUUAGAUGUCCUGGGCCGCACGCGCGUUACACUGAUGCAUUCAACGAGCAUAUAACCUUGGCCGAGAGGCCUGGGUAAUCUUGUUAACAUGCAUCGUGAUAGGGAUAGAUUAUUGCAAUUAUUAAUCUUGAACGAGGAAUUACUAGUAAUCGCAGUUCAUCAAACUGCAAUGAUUACGUCCCUGCCCUUUGUACACACCGCCCGUCGCACCUACCGAUUGAAUGGUCCGGUGAGGACUCGGGAUUGUGGUUUAGCUCCUUCAUUGGGGCCUGACUGCGAGAACUUGUCCGAACCUUAUCAUUUAGAGGAAGGUGAAGUCGUAACA